UACGUAGGUAGCAAGCGUUGUUCGGAGUUACUGGGCGUAAAGGGUGCGUAGGCGGUCCUAUAAGUAUGGUGUGAAAUCUCCCGGCUUAACUGGGAGGGUGCGCUAUAGACUGUGGGACUAGAGUGUGGGAGAGGAAAGUGGAAUUCCUGGUGUAGCGGUGAAAUGCGUAGAUAUCAGGAGGAACACCGGUGGUGUAAACGGCUUUCUGGACCAUAACUGACGCUGAGGCACGAAAGCGUGGGUUGCAAACAGG
rnacentral:rRNA from 1 species